rnacentral:pre_miRNA from 1 species
CAAGCAGACAGUGUAUUGGUGUAAUUAUGAUGUCUUCGUACGUAAAUACAUCUAAGGCAUCGUUUACACCACGUCAUUUCUGUCGG